rnacentral:rRNA from 1 species
UACGGGGGGUGCAAGCGUUGUUCGGAAUCAUUGGGCGUAAAGAGCGUGUAGGCGGCCGGAUAAGUCAGAUGUGAAAGCCCUGGGCUUAACCCGGGAAGUGCAUUUGAAACUGUCCUGCUAGAGUAAGGGAGAGGGAAGUGGAAUUCCUGGUGUAGAGGUGAAAUUCGUAGAUAUCAGGAGGAACACCGGUGGCGAAGGCGACUUCCUGGCCCUAUACUGACGCUGAGACGCGAGAGCGUGGGUAGCAAACAGC